ACCUACGGGAGGCAGCAGUAGGGAAUCUUCCACAAUGGACGAAAGUCUGAUGGAGCAACGCCGCGUGAGUGAAGAAGGGUUUCGGCUCGUAAAGCUCUGUUGGUAGUGGAGAAAGAUAGAGGUAGUAACUGGCCUUUAUUUGACGGUAAUUACUUAGAAAGUCACGGCUAACUACGUGCCAGCAGCCGCGGUAAUACGUAGGUGGCAAGCGUUGUCCGGAUUUAUUGGGCGUUAAGCGAGUGCAGGCGGGUGCAUAAGUGUGGUUUGAGA
rnacentral:rRNA from 1 species